AUUUCUUCCGCGUUCUUGACCAGUGAAAGCGCGUGUUUAGGGUGGCGCUGACUGCCUUCAGCUUCCACGGAUAAUUUCUCAAAUCAGUGUACCUGUUUCCGAUCAGGAGAAUUAUGUUGUGGUAGCAGCAUGGCUCUGCAUGCACCAGCGCUGAAGAAAGAUAUCAUGGCGGUGUGCCAAUAUUUCAUGUGGGCCGGGGAUUACAUUCAACAGACAACAAAGUCUUGCAGGUCUUGCAAUGGCAUGAGAGUGAGUAAAUCAUUUAAUAGUUUUUAUUUUUAUGGUAAACUUUUUCUUUGUUACGCUAAACAAGACAACAAUAAAACAGAGUGACCAGAUGUCCUGCGCUCAAAAAAAUGUGUUUU